rnacentral:rRNA from 1 species
AUUGAACGCUGGCGGCAUGCUUUACACAUGCAAGUCGAACGGUAACAGGCCGCAAGGUGCUGACGAGUGGCGAACGGGUGAGUAAUGCAUCGGAACGUGCCCAGUCGUGGGGGAUAACGCAGCGAAAGCUGCGCUAAUACCGCAUACGAUCUAUGGAUGAAAGCGGGGGACCGAAAGGCCUCGCGCGAUUGGAGCGGCCGAUGUCAGCUGUAGGUAGUUGGUGGGGUAAAGGCCCACCAAGCCAACGAUCUGUAGCUGGUCUGAGAGGACGACCAGCCACCCUGGGACUGAGACACGGACCAGACUCCUACGGGAGGCAGCAGUGGGGAAUUUUGGGCAAUGGGCGCAAGCCUGAUCCAGCAAUGCCGCGUGCAGGAAGAAGGCCUUCGGGUUGUAAACUGCUUUUGGACGGAACGAAACGGUCCGGGUUAAUACCCUGGGCUAAUGACGGUACCGUAAGAAUAAGCACCGGCUAACUACGUGCCAGCAGCCGCCGUAACAC